ACCUCCAAAGCAAUACAGAGAAACCCUGUCAUGAGUAACGCCCCCCAAAAAUAGAUAAUUUUUAUCUUUAUGAAGAAAAAUUAACAGUCAAAAAGAAUUGAAAUUUUUAAAUUAAUGAGAGAAUUGCUAAAAACAAUGUAUCUUUACUCUUUAACCUAGGCACAUUUGUUUAUUUAUAUAUGGAAUUAUAUAAUGGUCAUCUUAUGAUAUUAUAUAUGGAUAACAUAAUAUUCUUUUCAUGAAUCAAUAAUUGUUUUUUACAUCUGUAUUAAACUUUGCAAAUUAUACAAUUAAUAUGUAAUUUUUAAUUUAAAUGAUUCUGCUAUCUCCAUGUAAUUGUUAGACACGUUUUUGUGAUAAUGAAUAGCUGUAACUUUUCUAAAUUUGUUUAUGUAUUUAUACUUGUUCAAUUUUUAUAUAUUUCUCGUCUAGGAAGGUAGACAUCUAGUGUUCUCACAAAUGUAUUACAAGAAUAAGUAGCCUGGAUUACAUUAAAGGCAACAUACGACAUCAUGUAAAGUUGGUCUUGAUGAGGAACACUUACCUGCCAAGAUUAUUCUCAGCUAUAUAACAAGUUUGAGGUCAGAGUGGAGUCAUAAGACCAUGUGUCAGAAGAUAGCAUGACCAAAAAAACCCCAGAAAUUAUAAGAAUAUGUAAUCAUUCAAAUUUUAGAGUUGGCUACUAAGACUUUAUGAUUUAUAAUUCUGAAAUUUUCAAUUAGAUUGUUUUGUAAACCAUAAGGAUUUUAGCUUAAGAUGAAUAUAAUUUAACACUUGGAAUCCCUUUCCUAGAGAAGUAUGGUUUGUUGUAAUUUAAUUGAAGAAAAGAAUGAUUUUCUUUCACGGAUCUAUAUUUUAGUCCUUCAACUGAAGUGAAUACUGAUUAUUUUGCAUUACAAUAUGUAUUAUUUUGCAGUAAUGUUUGAAGAGUUUUCAAGUUAUUUAAAUAAACAAUAUAUACAUUCUCGGGAAUUGCUACAUGAGAACAACUAGAAUAAAAGAACAAUUUAUGGAAACAAAAAACAUGUUCAGAAAGAAUGUUAAAGCUUUGACACUCCUAAAGAGAAAGGAGUAAGACCACAUCUAUCUGCGUUUGUAUUUUAUACGGACCUUUGUAAAUAAACAGCUAAACAAGAAGAAAACAACCAUUUUUUCCAAUACCUUUGAUUGCCAGCAUCACAGGAGUGCUGGGUUUCCAUAUCCAACUUUCUACUCAUAACAUAGUUAUGAAUGUUUUGUGAACAUUUUUGUGAAGAAUUUUAGAACUCUGGGAUUUUAUGAGUCAGCAAAUAAUUUUGCAUUAGCCAAUGAUCAAAAGGAGAAGAUGAAAUUUAAUGUGGUCCUGAUGUCAGACUUACUAAGUCUACCUUGAUAUUAACUUACGGAGUCUAAGAAAAUUGACAUAACAAAAGUGUUUACUUGCAAGCUAUAGUUGAUCACCAAAACAGACAAUAACUGAAAGAAAAUGUCUCAAGUGUGGUGUGAACAGUCUUUCCGAUCAUGAAAAUUGAACUAAAUCGAUGGAGACUGGUGGAUCUUAGAAGACAAUAUUUUUAAGACAUUUUCAUUGCUGCUGUUGGACUAACUCAAGAAACAAGGACAAAACUACAUAGAUAAAAAUAAUAUGAUGGAAGUGACACUGGCUUCAUCACAGUGUUUUCUUAAAAUAUUCCCUGUAUGUAGUCAAAUUUUCCCUCAGAGUUGAUGCUUGCAAUUAUUUCUCAAGUUGGACAAAAUGCACUUUUAAUUUCGUUUGCACAACAUUUAAUAGAUUAAGUAGGAGAGAAUAGAUUUCAUUAAAAUUGAGUCUUCCUAUCCAACCUCAAGAUUAAGCGUGAUAUUGCAGCUAGGCAAGGGCAUCCAGGAGUCACAUUACUGAGAGCUCCACGUGCCAGAUACUUCCAUGCUCUUGGUGCCAGCGGCCUCAAGGCUCAACAGAUUGACUUGUGAAAUUGCAGCCAGUGGGCAUCCCCUCUUCAAGGUGGUGGCCAUCUUGACAAACACACAAAAUAUACCUUCUGAAAAGUUUUUAUCUACAAGACUUCCCAAUUACAGUUGCUUUUAUUUGUUGUUUCUGGAGUCUUACUCUAUGCGUCUCAUCUUACAACUUGUACAGAAGACUUCAAUGGAAUAAUAAUGACCUGCUUUUGGCAAGUAAUUGAAUGGAACAUUCAUUACUUCUGCUUUUAGUAUAUCCUGUGAUCUGAUAUUGAAUGUUACCUAGUCUCUUAUUCAUAUUUUACUUUUUAAAUGGAAGAGACUUUUAUGUGUGGGUAGUACACUUGAUGGACACAGAUAUUUUAUGAUAAUUGGAUGAUAACAAGGUUUUCUGACUAAGUUUCCUGGUAUGACAGUUUUGUUAUUAUCUGGGAUAUGGUUUCCUUUUCCUUUAACUGAGAAACUCAGAUUUUAGGCAGGCCCCAAAGAAGAUUGUCUUUCACACUGGUGUUCUCUAGAGUUGAUGUUCUGGUUGCUGUUUUGCUGACAUUGCUGGCCUAUGUCUCGGGCAUAAGUAUGAGUCUGUGGCUUGCUUUUUCUUCAGUACCCCAACUGCAGACUUCUGUAGAGAAAUGUUGUCCUUGAGUUGGUAAAGGGAGCCAUAGGGACUCUGUCUUGUAGAAUGUGUGACAUCAUCAUUUUAUUGGUAUCACCUAUGUCCUUUCAGGUGAGAGCAAAAACAUACUGUAUUAAAGAGAUUUGAGUUUGUUACACAAUGUGUUGAUUUUUCACUUGUUCCUGCUUAAACUAAGUGAAAUCAAUAUAAAGUAUGACUUAUUGUAAAUAUGAGUUGUCGGUUUCUAGACCAUACUCCUCAUUAGGUAAUUACUGCCUGCUUUCCUGAAACGGUUUGACUAAUUUUCCAGAGUAACUACAAUUGCUAGUUGUUUUUAAAGCAUCUGCGUGUGUAUGUCAUUAGGGGAGUAUGUUCAUGUCAGUAGAUUUCUGUAGAGUCAGAAAUGAAAGUUGCAUUUCCUGAAGCUAGGGUUAGAGGUGAGCCAUGAUCACUCAAGCCCUAUAUAUUUUAAGAUUAUUUACUAAUUCCUUUCUUUUGUGUGGUUUACCAAUACAUUGUUUAAUAUGGACAGUAAGGUGGCUCAGGGAAAAAAAAGGUGAUUUCCACCCAAGGCCAGCAACUCCAGUUGGCUCUGUGGAAACCAGGUGGUAUAGAAUGCAGCAGAGAACAGAAGACUUAAUGGAUUUUUUUAAAAAUCUCAUAAAUUUAUAGUACAAUUCUUGUAUCCUUGAUUAUUAUAUUAUUAUGCCAUUUCCUCUGAAAUUUAAGGUAUUACCUGUGUUCUUUAUUAAUACACAUUUAAAUUUAUAUGCCAUGGAGUUCCUCUUUUAAUAGCAAAGUUAAUGUAUUUCAGUUGAUCUCUUAGCAUUUUCUGAGUUUGGAUUGAUCUAGAUUCUAAUCAGAUACAAUGACAGUGCAUAGAACACAAGACAAUACAAGAAACUGUCAGUUUGUGUUAGGGGUCACAAAGCAUUUUAUCUGUAAGGCUCCAGAUCAUGUUGUUACAACCAGGAGUCUGUUCUUGAGGUACAAAAGCACCGAGGGCCAAUUGUUAAACUGUAUGCCAGUAAAUUGUUGCAGUGUGCAGAUUUUUGGGCCAGGUUUGGACUCUAGCAAGAUGAUUUUUUGAACCCUUCAUGUGCUGUAUAUUUCCAUUUUCAUCCAGUGGAUCUUUGUUAGGUUUUAAAAUAUAAGAUACACAAAGCAUGUCUUUGCUUGUACUAGUUUCCAAAUUCUUGACAUCAGUGCUUCUCAACCGGUGGGCUGUGACCCCUUUGGGGUUCAACAAGCCUUUUACCGGGGUCACCUCAGACUAUUCUCAUACAGAUAUUUAUAUGAAAAUUCAUAACAGUAGCCAAAUUGCAGUUACGAUGUAGCAACAAAAAGAGAUGAGGUGAGGUUGAGAAGCACUGCUAUACAUAUCCAAAUAUAUACUUGCAUUUGUCAUUGAAAUAAGUAUUUAAACCUUUUGAUACUUAACCCUUAAAAUAUCUUUUAACAAUUUGUAAAGUUUAGAUGUUUUAGUACGUUGACAUAGGGCCAUCAGCAAUGAUUAAAACAUUCUGUGGCCAUUCAUUCUUAGCUUGCUAUGCCCAUUCCACAGCAAUGAUGAGUUCACUGCUCAUGAUGUAUAUGGUUGUCAGUAACUUUCUUGUGUUGAUAUAUAAUUGUAUGUGGAGUUUGUGGUUGUAUGGUAUUCAUAUUAAUGCUUCAAAAUUUCGUAUUUCAUAUAUCAUGGAAGUAUUUCCAAACUAGUAGUUUAAGUUUAUGAAACUAUGCCUUGCUCCUCCAUGUGAUGCUGUUGAUGAUGUUGUCUAUACUUAUAUAACUAUGAAAAUAUGUUUGAAUUCCUACUUAAAUAAUACUUUUCUAAGUAUGAUAAUAUUAUAUCAUCUUCUGUGGUUUCUGUCAACAUUGUGAAAUUGUUCUUAGAUGCUUUCUGGUCUAAGCCAGAGCUGUGGUGUAAUGACAGUGCUAAUUUUCAUUGAUUCAUGCUUACUGUGCUUCAAAACAUUUAAAUAAUAGUCAUUCUAAUAGGUGAAAUAGUACUUUUAAACUUCAGCCUAAUUUAAAUGUUAAGUGGUCAAAAUCGUAUACAAUUGAAUAGUCUUUUAGAUGUAGAAACCACUGAUUCCAAAUGUUGAACUUCCUCAUAAAUUCCUUGAGUACAUACUAUAGAAAUAAGUCUUUUCUUUCUCUUUAAUAUUGAUAAAAUUUUAGAGCCAUCUACUCUUUACCUAGUCUUAUUCUGCAUUCCUCUCACCCACCACUUCCUUUCCUCUUCUCCUCUGUCCCCUCACAUCGUAUUUCUGUUUAUACAUGUCAUUUUAUUUUCUGAACUAUACAUUAGUUGCAGGUAUGAUGUUCAAAUUUCCCAAUAUUUUCUUUCAUCUACAUUAUAAAAGUGUGUGUAUGUUCCCUCAAGCCUGGCUUAAAAUUUAAAAACCUUUCUUACUCUGAUAUGUUAUUUUUGAGUUAUCAUAUUAUAUCAUAUUAUUAUCCCUCAGAAGCAUGUUUGUUUUCUAAUGAGAGACAGAAAGGGUGAUUUCUAUAUGGGAAGGGAUGUGGAGAAGAACUGGAAAGAGCAGAGGGAGGUAAAAUAAUACUUAGUAUGUGGGAAAUCUAUUUUCAAUAAAAUGAAAAAAAAUUAAGAGUAUCAACUGCAUCAUCACUAGUUUAGAAGCAUGUCAUAUACAUUGUAUAUAUUUCCAUGUCAAUAGUUGUUUUUUUCUUUCUUUUUCCAUUCUUUGGAAAUAACUUUACAGAAGCUAUAUGUCUUUAUAUUGUUUAAUCUGAAUCAAUCUUUGUCCUUGAUGGCAUUGGUGUCCUUGAGAAAUAGUACCUUUCAGGUUUUGAGAUUCUUUAGCUUCUGUUUUUAUUCCUUGUAAAAUAUUUGAGAAUAUGUAUAUGUGGCAGGAAUACUGCAGAAUAGAUGUGUGUUGCCUUCAAUAAAUCAUGUCAAGUAAAAGCA